CUUACAUAUAAUAAGAGCAAGUUGUGAUUUUCUUGUCAGUCCUGAAAUUGAGUUUGAUGCGAUCAACCAGCAGGCCAAAAUGUCUUUGUAUUCCUAUAUUAUAUUUUUCUUGGUCAUAAAUUUGUCCUUGGUGAUUUCUGCGCCUUUGGGAUGUCAGGAUCUGAAUUUGCCGGAUCCCGAAAAAUAUCAACUCUGCAUGUUGGAAUACGCUUAUAAGACAAGAAAGUAUUCACAUGGAGAUUUCGACUCGGUUUUCCAGGAAAGAAAACGCAAUCCUGAACUGAGUCAAGCUUUGCAUUAUAUGAAAGAAAUGAAUAUCAUAUGAUGUGCACAUCAUCAAUUAAAUACGAAAGCGGAUCAAGAUUCUGCAAUAUUUUUGUAACACGUUCCUAGUCAUAUCAUAGGUGGCAUUAUGAAAUAUAUUAUUUGCAAAUAUUUUUCAAUUUUACUAUAAUCUAAAUGUAUUUAAUUAAUAAAAAUUUUAGCAAUUA